rnacentral:rRNA from 1 species
UGGAGUCUGCAACCCGACUCCAUGAAGCUGGAUUCGCUAGUAAUCGCGCAUCAGCCACGGCGCGGUGAAUACGUUCCCGGGCCUUGUACACACCGCCCGUCAAGCCAUGGAAGCCGGGAGUGCCUGAAGUGCGUGAGCGCAAGCAGCGCCCUAAGGUAAAACCGGUGACUGGGGCUAAGUCGUAACAAGGUACC